rnacentral:rRNA from 1 species
AUGGAAGGGAAGGCGAAGAACCCAGCGGAGUCGGUGGCCGUCGUGGCGGUGCCGUUCCCGGCGCAGGGCCAUCUCAACCAGCUCCUGCACCUGUCUCUGGAGCUAGCCUCGCGCGGGCUGGACGUGCACUACGCGGCGUCCGCCCCGCACGUCCGCCAGGCUCGCGCGCGCGUGCACGGCUGGGACGAGGACGCGCUCCGCUCGAUCCAGUUCCACGACCUCGGCAUCUCGACCUACGUCUCCCCGCCUCCAGACCCCACCGCCGACCCGCCCUUCCCCUCCCACCUCAUGCCCCUGUUCGAAGCCUUCACCGCGGGCGCGCGCGCCCCGCUCGCGGCUGUCCUCCGCGAGCUCUCUGCUUCUCGCCGCCGCGUCGUCGUCGUGUACGAUCUCAUGAACGCCUUCGCGUCCGAGGAGGCGGCGAAGCUGCCCAACGGGGAGGCUUUCGGGUUUUACUCCACCGCCGUGUCGUCCAUCGUCGGGCGGAUGGACGCCGGGCACCGCCUCCUGCGCGACAACGGCCUCACGCACCUCCCCACCUGCGUGUCCGAGGAGUUCGUGGACUACGCCAGCAAACGCGCGAGGGUGGGGCAGUCGAUUUCGGACGGCGCCGGCAUCAUCGUCAACACGUGCCGCGCGCUUGAGGGUGAGUUCGUCGACGUUGUUGCCGAGCAGAUGGCGGCCGACGGCAAGAAGCUCUUUGCCAUCGGGCCGUUGAACCCACUGCUCGAGGCGACAGCGUCCAACCAGGGGAAGACGCAGCGGCACGAGUGCCUGAACUGGCUUGACCUGCAGCCGCCGUCAUCGGUGCUCUACGUGUCGUUCGGCUCGUCGUCCUCGCUCCGAGAGGAGCAAGUCGCGGAGCUUGCGGCGGCGCUGCACGGCAGCAAGCAGCGCUUCAUCUGGGUGCUGCGGGACGCCGACCGCGGCGACAUAUUCGCGGACGCCGCCGACAACCGGCACGCCGAGCUGCUGUCCCAGUUCACCAAGCAGACCGAAGGCACGGGGCUGGUGAUCACAGGGUGGGCCCCGCAGCUGGAGAUCCUGGCGCACGGCGCCACGGCGGCGUUCAUGAGCCACUGCGGCUGGAACUCGACCGUGGAGAGCAUGAGCCACGGCAAGCCAAUUCUCGGCUGGCCCAUGCACUCCGACCAGCCGUGGGACGCGGAGCUGGUGUGCAGCUACCUCAAGGCCGGCCUCCUAGUGAGGCCGUGGGAGAAACACGGCGAGGUGAUAUCGGCGACAACCAUACAGGAGGCCAUUGAAACGAUGAUGGUCGCCGAGGAAGGGGUCGCAGUGAGGCAGCGGGCAGAGGCGCUCGGGGAGGCCGUCCGUUCGUCGGCAGCUCAGGGCGGAUCAUCGCACAAGGAACUGGAGGGCUUCAUAUCAUACAUGACAAGGUGA